AAGUCGUAACAAGGUUUCCGUAGGUGAACCUGCGGAAGGAUCAUUAUCACGUUAUCCACGUAUAAACCAUUGUGAACCGUUCCCACCUCCGUUGGCGCAACAGGUAUUGAGCUCCAGUACAGAGGAUGACGAAACUCAUCGUACUAAGCUUAGUGCAUGUAUGAAGAUAAACCCGGGUUCUGACACUAACUAGUACUGUCAAUUUUUACGAUGAGCUUCACACAAAACUGUUGUUGCUACGGAGUGUAUUCACUCCUUAUUAACCAUUUUAACCAAAACUUUAACCUUUUAAACUAAUUUUUAUUUUAUACUCUUCGGAGAUAAAAUUCAUUACGAAACAAAGAACAACUCUUAGCAACGGAUAUCUUGGUUCUC
rnacentral:misc_RNA from 1 species